GACGAACGCUGGCGGCGUGCUUAACACGUGCAAGUCGAACGGAAAGGCCCUGCUUUUGUGGGGUGCUCGAGUGGCGAACGGGUGAGUAACACGUGAGUAACCUGCCCUUGACUUUGGGAUAACUUCAGGAAACUGGGGCUAAUACCGGAUAGGAGCUCCUGCUGCAUGGUGGGGGUUGGAAAGUUUCGGCGGUUGGAGAUGGACUCGCGGCUUAUCAGCUUGUUGGUGGGGUAGUGGCUUACCAAGGCUUUGACGGGUAGCCGGCCUGAGAGGGUGACCGGCCACAUUGGGACUGAGAUACGGCCCAGACUCCUACGGGAGGCAGCAGUGGGGAAUAUUGCACAAUGGGCGGAAGCCUGAUGCAGCAACGCCGCGUGCGGGAUGACGGCCUUCGGGUUGUAAACCGCUUUCGCCUGUGACGAAGCGUGAGUGACGGUAAUGGGUAAAGAAGCACCGGCUAACUACGUG
rnacentral:rRNA from 1 species